rnacentral:rRNA from 1 species
UACGGGGGAGCAAGCGUUGUUCGGAUUUACUGGGCGUAAAGGGCGCGUAGGCGGCCAGCGCAAGUUCAGUUGUGAAAUCUCCGGGCUUAACUCGGAAAGGUCAACUGAUACUGCGCGGCUAGAGUGCAGAAGGGGCAACUGGAAUUCUCGGUGUAGCGGAUGAAUGCGUAGAUAUCAAGAGGAACACCUGAGGUGAAGACGGGUUGCUGGGCUGACACGUGACGCUGAGGCGCGAAAGCUAGGGUAGCAAACGGG